rnacentral:tRNA from 1 species
UCCCUGGUGGUCCAGGGGCUAAGACCUUGCACUCCCAAUGCAGGGGGCCUGGGUUCGAUCCCUGGUCAGGGAA